UACCAGCACCCCGAGUGGUCGGGACGAUUAUUGGGCCUAAAGCAUCCGUAGCCGGUCAUGCAAGUCCUCCGUUAAAUCCACCUGCUUAACAGAUGGGCUGCGGAGGAUACUACAAGGCUAGGAGGCGGAAGAGGCAAGCGGUACUCAGUGGGUAGGGGUAAAAUCCUCUGAUCCAUUGAAGACCACCAGUGGCGAAGGCGGCUUGCCAAUACGCGCUCGACGGUGAGGGAUGAAAGCUGGGGGGAGCAAACCGGAUUAGAAACCCCCGGGUA
rnacentral:rRNA from 1 species